rnacentral:rRNA from 1 species
UACAGAGGAGCCAAGCGUUGUCCGGAUUGACUGGGCGUAAAGCGCACGCAGGCGGAUGUGCGCGUGGGGUGUGAAAUCUGGCCGCUUAACGGCCAGGCGCCAUCCCAUACGGCACGUCUGGAGGGCUGCAGAGGUCGAUGGAAUUGCCGGUGUAGUGGUGAAAUGCGUAGAGAUCGGCAGGAACACCCAGGGGGAAACCAGUCGACUGGGCAGCAACUGACGCUGAGGUGCGAGAGCGUGGGGAGCGAACCGG